GAGGAAUAUUGGUCAAUGGGGGCAACCCUGAACCAGCGACGCCGCGUGAAGGAUGACAGGGCUUUGCCCCGUAAACUUCUGUCGGGAGGGAAAAAAGGACUGUUUGGCGGUCUGGGAUUGUACCUCUAAAGGAAGCACCGGCUAACUACGUGCCAGCAGCCGCGGUAAUACGUAGGGUGCAAACGUUGUCCGGAAUUACUGGGUGUAAAGGGUGCACAGGCGGUUUUGUGCGUCAGAGGUAAAAUCCCACAGCUCAACUGUGGACCUGCCUUUGAUACGGCAAGACUUGAGUACAAGAGAGGAUGAUAGAAUUCCUGGUGUAGCGGUGAAAUGCGUAGAUAUCAGGAGGAAUACCAGUGGCGAAGGCGGUCAUCUGGCUUGUAACUGACGCUUAAGCACGAAAGCAUGGGUAGCGAACA
rnacentral:rRNA from 1 species